rnacentral:rRNA from 1 species
UAAGCAAGGUGUGAAUCGUACGGCUCAACCGUAUACACAUACUUUGAACUGGUAAGCUAGAGUAUAUGAGAGGUCACUGGAAUUUCUAGUGUAGGAGUGAAAUCCGUAGAUAUUAGAAGGAACACCGAUGGCGUAGGCAGGUGACUGGCAUAUUACUGACGCUAAAGGCACGAAAGCGUGGGGAGCGAACCGGAUUAGAUACCCGGGUAGUCCACGCCGUAAACUAUGGAUGCUA